rnacentral:piRNA from 1 species
GAUGAAGGCCGCCGAAUGACCUGGAAGC